rnacentral:rRNA from 1 species
AAACUAACAAGGAUUCCCCUAGUAGCGGCGAGCGAAGCGGGAAGAGCUCAAAUUUAUAAUCUGGCACCUUCGGUGUCCGAGUUGUAAUCUCUAGAAAUGUUUUCCGCGUUGGACCGCACACAAGUCUGUUGGAAUACAGCGGCAUAGUGGUGAGACCCCCGUAUAUGGUGCGGACGCCCAGCGCUUUGUGAUACAUUUUCGAAGAGUCGAGUUGUUUGGGAAUGCAGCUCAAAUUGGGUGGUAAAUUCCAUCUAAAGCUAAAUAUUGGCGAGAGACCGAUAGCGAACAAGUACCGUGAGGGAAAGAUGAAAAGCACUUUGGAAAGAGAGUUAACAGUACGUGAAAUUGUUGGAAGGGAAACGCUUGAAGUCAGACUUGCUUGCCGAGCAAUCGGUUUGCAGGCCAGCAUCAGUUUUCCGGGGUGGAUAAUGGUAAAGAGAAGGUAGCAGUUUCGGCUGUGUUAUAGCUCUCUACUGGAUACACCCUGGGGGACUGAGGAACGCAGUGUGCCUUUGGCGGGGGUUUCGACCUCUUCACACUUAGGAUGCUGGUGGAAUGGCUUUAAACGACCCGUCUUG